AGGUCCCAAAAUGUAUGCUAAGUGGAAAAGGAUGUGGAGAUGUACAGACAACUAGGAGGUUGGCUCAGAAGCAGCCAUCCUUUAAAGAGUGCGUAACAGCUCACUAGUCGAAUGACUCUGCGCCGAUAAUUUACCGGGGCUAAGCAUACUACCGAAGCUAUGGAUCCCAAGGGAUGGUAGGGGAGCGUUCCAUGAACGGAGAAGUACGACCGAAAGGACGUGUGGAGAUCAUGGAAGAGAGAAUGCCGGUGUGAGUAGCGGAACGUGGGUGAGAAUCCCACGCACCGAAAACCCAAGGUUUCCAGAGGAAGGUUCGUCCGCUCUGGGUAAGUCGGGACCUAAGGCGAGGCCGAAAGGCGUAGUCGAUGGACAACAGGUAGAGAUUCCUGUACCCGUAUAUAUGUGAAGGAAUGACGGAGAGAGGAAGCUGCAGCCAGCGGCUGGAAGAGCUGGUGCAAGCGAGAUAUCGGGAUGGCAGGCAAAUCCACCAUCCGAAACGAGAAGGCGUGAAGCGUACGGAAAGCUACGGCGAGUACGGAAGGCAGUGGAGGAACUUCCAAGAAAAGUUUCUAACGUUAAGUAUAUAUGGCCCGUACCGAAAAUGGACACACAUGGGUGAGGAGAGAAUCCUAAGGUGAGCGAGAGAACUAUAGCUAAGGAACUCUGCAAAAUGACUCCGUAACUUAGGGAGAAGGAGUGCUCAUAGAGAUAUGAGCCGCAGUGAAACGGCCCAAGCGACUGUUUACCAAAAACACAGCUCUCUGCUAAGCCGCAAGGCGAAGUAUAGGGGGUGACGCCUGCCCGGUGCUGGAAGGUUAAGGGGAGGGGUUAACGCAAGUGAAGCCCUGAACUGAAGCCCCAGUAAACGGCGGCCGUAACUAUAACGGUCCUAAGGUAGCGAAAUUCCUUGUCAGGUAAGUUCUGACCCGCACGAAAGGCGUAACGAUUUGGGCGCUGUCUCAGCUGUAGACUCGGUGAAGUCUUAGUACCUGUGAAGAUGCAGGUUACCCGCGACUAGACGGAAAGACCCCAUGGAGCUUCACUGCAGGUUGAUAUUGGGAUUUGAUGCAGCAUGUACAGGAUAGGUAGGAGGCAAAGAGAUGGAUACGCCAGUAUUCAAGGAGCCGCUGUUGGGAUACUACCCCUGUUGUAUUGGAUUUCUAACCGGACGACGUAGAGCCGUUGACGGGACAGUGUCAGUCGGGCAGUUUGACUGGGGCGGUCGCCUCCCAAAGAGUAACGGAGGCGCCCAAAGAUACCCUCAGCUUGGAUGGAAACCAAGCGCAGAGUGCAAAGGCAAAAGGGUGUUUGACUGCGAGACCCACAAGUCGAGCAGGGACGAAAGUCGGGCUUAGUGAUCCGGCGGUGCUGAAUGGAAAGGCCGUCGCUCAACGGAUAAAAGCUACCCUGGGGAUAACAGGCUGAUCUCCCCCAAGAGUUCACAUCGACGGGGAGGUUUGGCACCUCGAUGUCGGCUCAUCGCAUCCUGGAGCUGAAGUCGGUUCCAAGGGUUGGGCUGUUCGCCCAUUAAAGCGGUACGCGAGCUGGGUUCAGAACGUCGUGAGACAGUUCGGUCCCUAUCUGUCGUGGGCGCAGGAAAUUUGAGAAGAGCUGUCCUCAGUACGAGAGGACCGGGAUGGACGCAUCAAUGGUGGACCAGUUGUCACGCCAGUGGCAUAGCUGGGUAGCUAAAUGCGGAAGGGAUAAACGCUGAAGGCAUCUAAGUGUGAAACCCACUUCAAGAUGAGAUUUCCCAUUGC
rnacentral:rRNA from 1 species